AGGCUGUGGAAUCCUAAUUAUCCUUCCAAGUCUCAACCCAAGAUCCAUUUCUAUCAUAAAGCCUCUCCACGGGAGCCACGAUCUCCUAAGGACGACAGGUAUCACGGCUUACAGUUACAGGCUACUGAUAAAUUGUUCUGAUUGGUUGAUGACAGCAAAAGAGAAUGAAGAGACCUUGGCUUCCAACUGACUUGCACUGGAGUACUGGCUACAUCAUGUUGGAGCCAGAUGGCCUCAAACGUGUUGUUUAACUUCACUAAGCCCCAGUUUCUAACCUGCAACCUGGAGACAGUUACCCUCCUCAGAAGGCUGUUGUGAGGACCAGAGGAGAUAUGGAAAAUGCCGUGUUCCGCUUGUCCUUUUCCUGCCCCUCUCUUUCAACCAAUGUUACAAGGAUUGGGUUCCUGACUUAUUACCUACUUUGCAAGACUCAUCUCAAAUACAAUAUCCUUUAGAAAA